rnacentral:rRNA from 1 species
GGAAUCUUCCACAAUGGACGCAAGUCUGAUGGAGCAACGCCGCGUGAGUGAAGAAGGUCUUCGGAUCGUAAAACUCUGUUGUUAGAGAAGAACACGAGUGAGAGUAACUGUUCAUUCGAUGACGGUAUCUAACCAGCAAGUCACGGCUAACUACGUGCAAG